rnacentral:ncRNA from 17 species
UGGGCUGGUCGAAAGACCCUGGUCCAACCUACGACGGCGGGCAAACUGACC